UACGUAGGGUGCAGGCGUUAAUCGGAAUUACUGGGCGUAAAGCGUGCGUAGACGGUUAUGUAAGUCAGAUGUGAAAGCCCCGGGCUCAACCUGGGAAUUGCAUUUGAGACUGUGUAGCUAGGGUGCGGAAGAGGGAAGCGGAAUUUCCGGUGUAGCGGUGAAAUGCGUAGAUAUCGGAAGGAACACCAGUGGCGAAAGCGGCUUCCUGGUCCAGCACCGACGUUCAGGCACGAAAGCGUGGGGAGCAAACAGG
rnacentral:rRNA from 1 species